AAUGAGCAGCCUCCCAACCCACCCAAUCAAUGAGGAGGCAGCCACCAUCCUCCCUCUUUAUAAGGAGCUUGGCCGGCCACACCUCCUCUCCUUUGCCUCAUUUCUUUUCACUCCCUACUAUUUCCUCCACUCCCUCACACUCUCCUCCUCCACUUCCCCACGAAAAUGGUGCUCCCCUUGCUCCCAUGGCCGGCCAUGGCCAUGGCAAGCCACCAAGAUGAAGCUCUCGCUCUCCCUCAAGCUCCUCCUCACCAUGAGAGCCUCCCUCUCCUUCUUCUCCUCAACCCUAGAUGGUUUUCUCUCCUCUUCUUCUUCCUCCCUUGCUAAGAUUGGAUCUUGAUGCAGGUGCAUGUUGGUCCAAGCAUGGAGAAGCUUGAGCUAUCCUCAGAUCUGAAGUUCUUGAGCAAAGGCCAAAUCGAGUGAUUCAAAGUUCCACGAAUAGCUAUUGAAAAGAUCUACAACUUGGCGUUGGUUUCACCCUCAAAUUCGUUACAUAUUUUCCUCGAUCAAGAUCUGGUCAGAUCUGACUUGGUCGAAUUAAAUCAGGAGCUUGGGAACGAAUUUUUGAAUGAAACAAACUGGGGGAUACUUAGUUGUGCCAUGGUGAUACCGAGAGAGGCAAUUGCUAAGUUAUGAUACUCUCAUACCUUUACUAGAUGCGAACGAUUCCGGAGAAGAAGAAGAAGAAGUGGUUCGGACAAGGAUUUUAUUUAUAUUGAUGGGAUUCUUAUAUUGAUGAAGUUGAAGAAGUCCAGGGACAAAUAAGCCAAGGCAAGCCAUCUUUUGAUCUCUGAUAUGAUGUCUCUUUGGAUGUCAUCUUGUGCUAUCAAUAGCAUCUUGGUUCUAUGUGUGAUGAUCUCCAUAUUGUUGUCAUCUAUGCUUGGAUGCAAGCAUGGUACCUCUAGUAGUUUUAUCUUGUCAAGGUCUUGGUAAUUUGUUGGGUGUAUGGUAUCAUGGCCAUUGCUAUCCAACUUGCUUUCUAUAUUUAGCUUGAAUAUGUUCCACCUCGGGACAAGAUUCAUACUACACCCCCUUCUAGUGUAGAUGUAUCAAUACCAUGUUUUUGGUGUAUUCUCAAAUUGUGAUGAGUAUGCCUGUUUUCCCUUAAUGGUGUUGGUGUUGGUCAAUUCUCAUCCCUAUCUAUCUAUUGAUUGGGUUAGAUAGCACCACAAAUCUGAAAGUAUAUUUCCUCUUGUGUUGUCAUAAUACAUGCUUAGCUCAAGCAAGUAUGAUCCACUCCAAUACCUCUUUUUCAUACCCUCAAUGGCGUGAUGAUCCUCAUCUCGGCCAUAGUGUUGUAUUAGUUCAACUCAUGAAACUUUAGAUUGGGAACCCCUCAAGGUUUACCUUGUUGUAAAUGUUUAUGAAAACCUUGGGUGAGGCAAUCUUACCCAAGCGUAUGGUUUAUGAAAGGAAAGGAUCUUGACAAAGAUGGUUGGAAAGAGGAAGGUGUGUGUGACUUGGGUUUUUGAGAAAAAUGACACAUGGUUCUUUGUAUUCGCCCGGAACAACUAAACAGCGCAACCAUAGCUACUCCAACGUGGGCACGGGGCUUAACUUGACGUUUGUUCUUCUUAGCAUGAGGCACCGCACAACUAUACAAGGGUACGGUUACCCCCGAGUCCGGGUUGUCAUGGUUGGGACAAUAGUAUAACGGGAGGCCUUCGGGGCUGACCCGUCCGGAAGACACUAUGGGUCUCCUGGCUUGGCGGUGGAGCCACGCUCUAGAGGAGGUGAGCUGCCACGGUGCCGGGGAGGUACAUACUCCAUAGGGUAGGACCUCAUGUUAAGUCGAAUGGGCGAAAGGUUAUGUCCGGGUAUCCGUCGUGGCAUAUGUCGUUAUGCGGGGAUGAUGCCCACACGAUAGGUAUCCGGAUAGUUGUGGUGAAAGUGUGCAAACUCUGCAGAGUCAAAACUAUUCGAAUAGCCGCGUCCGCGGUCAUGGACGGUUGGGAUGGCCGUUACAGAGCUGUGUCGAGUUUUGGUUUUGAAAAUGAUUUCCAAAGGAAAUGUGUGUUGGAAGUACCGGAAGGGUACGGGAAAGAUGGUGUGCCGACCAUGUGGAGAUGGUCGAGGAAAAUGAAACAAAAGAGGGUGACCCUUCCUAGUGUUUCAUGUAGAGGAACUCUGCUUUAACAAAGAUAUAGAGAUGUCAUAGGACUUUCUUAGUGUCCCCUUCAACUGUGAUGUGGGAUGCUAUAUCCACAAGAGAAACUGAUUCUCUUUCACAUGCUAUAUCCACAAGAGAAACUGAUUCUCUUUCACAUGCUAUAUCCACAAGAGAAACUGAUUCUCUUUCACAUGCUAUAUCCACCAGAGAAACUAUUCUUCCUCUCUUGUCUUCUUUAGUUAGAAUUGUUAUCACCUUCUUGAUGGUUUGCGAGUACAAUUCAAAUGUACUCACGGCUUUGUCCCUGGCUAUUUACUUGGCCAGACCUGGAGGACUUCGACAGAUGAAGAAGGAGUUGACGACGUUUAUGCGAGCUAGGAACGUCUUCCCAGUCAGUUGCCUGUAGGGUUAAGGCAGAUGACUUGGGCUCUGCGCUGCUGAAGUGAUUCCGCUACUCUGAUGAUUAGAUUAGGCCCUUCGAGGCGAUUAUGUAAAGAUUGGUCAUGUGACCUUGUUGUAAUUUUCUUAUUCCGUUUUGUAAAGGAUGAUGUAAUUUUGAUAUCAGUUCGGUUAUGUGUUCACGGCGCACUGAUCAUGGGAUCGUGAACUGUAUACAUAAAAGGGUAUUUCGGACAGCUAGUCCGGGGUCCCCACACAUGAUAUUUUUAGUCCCCCAAGCAUUG